rnacentral:tRNA from 1 species
UUUACUUUGGCAGAUUAGUGCAUUAAAUUUAGAAUUUAAAUAUUAUUAAUAAAAUAAAGUAAAA